AAUGACCACACUCUUGGCACAAAGGCCCAUCCAUAGCAAGGCCAUUUGAUCCUACAAUGGGUUGGGGGUGCAAUAGGAAAUCAGGGUGUAAAGUUGAGCAAAUCCAUGGGCUUAGGGGGACAAGCCAAGCCCAAUGCACAAUGUUAAGGGAAAGUACAUGGCUUCACGUGGAUUUCAAAAACCCAACGUCGUUGAAGCAAUGACCACUUCUCAGACAUCUGACUUGAGAUCCACCGCAUCCGCCGCGUUGGAAAUCGCCUUCGACGGAGGCGGAGAGAUAAACUAUGAAAAUCCUAUGUCAAUCCACUCGUUUCUUCGUCUUCAAUCCAUAUCUGUAAUCCAUUUUACAUAAAUUCCAACCUAAUGCCCAAACCGAAUCCAAAUCAACCAAGAAACCUAAUCACAAAUUGAUAAAUUAAAUGCUUCUCUCUUGGAAUCAAAGCCCAAGGAAUUGGGGAUUUGAUUCCUCAUCCUCCAAGCUACAUUUCCGUAACUGAAUCAAAACAAACGGUAAAAAACAACUCACGCUACCGGAGAAAGAUGCAGACGACGAUGAAGCUCAGAAUUCUGACUUUGUUGUAGGCAUGGUGGGCAAGAUAACAAGUCACAAUGCAAGGCAUAAAAACAAAGUCAAGGCAUAAUGACCAAAUUUGGCAAAGCUUGAUUAAUGGAGGAGAUGGUCACCAUGGGGGACCUAGUAAUGGUGCAUUUUAUGAAGAUGGGAUGAAUAUUAGAUUUUAGGAUGAAAAAAGUGAUGGUUGACCAAAAGUCAACUUUUGUAAAAAUGUAAAAUUUUGAUAUUUCUUUUUGUAAUGAACAUUAGACAUAUUUAAUGAAUGAAUGAAUAGCCAAUUGUGAGCAGAAUGUCCAUGAUGUAUAAGUGAAUCCAAUUUUACUUUUUGAAUGAAUCUCAUCUAGAACCAA